rnacentral:misc_RNA from 1 species
GAUGAAGAACGUAGCAAAAUGCGAUAAGUAAUGUGAAUUGCAGAAUUCAGUGAAUCAUCGAAUCUUUGAACGCACAUUGCGCCCGCCAGUAUUCUGGCGGGCAUGCCUGUUCGAGCGUCAUUUCAACCCUCAAGCACAGCUUGGUGUUGAGACUCGCGUUAAUUCGCGUUCCCCAAAUUGAUUGGCGGUCACGUCGAGCUUCCAUAGCGUAGUAGUAAAACCCUCGUUACUGGUAAUCGUCGCGGCCACGCCGUUAAACCCCAACUUCUGAAUGUUGACCUCGGAUCAGGUAGGAAUACCCGCUGAACUUAAGCAUAUCAAUAAGCGGAGGA